rnacentral:rRNA from 1 species
UUAACACAUGCAAGUCGAGGGGCAGCAUGGUCUUAUCUUGCUAAGGCCGAUGGCGACCGGCGCACGGGUGAGUAACACGUAUCCAACCUGCCGUCUACUCUUGGACAGCCUUCUGAAAGGAAGAUUAAUACAAGAUGGCAUCAUGAGUCCGCAUGUUCACAUGAUUAAAGGUAUUCCGGUAGACGAUGGGGAUGCGUUCCAUUAGAUAGUAGGCGGGGUAACGGCCCACCUAGUCUUCGAUGGAUAGGGGUUCUGAGAGGAAGGUCCCCCACAUUGGAACUGAGACACGGUCCAAACUCCUACGGGAGGCAGCAGUGAGGAAUAUUGGUCAAUGGGCGAGAGCCUGAACCAGCCAAGUAGCGUGAAGGAUGACUGCCCUAUGGGUUGUAAACUUCUUUUAUAAAGGAAUAAAGUCGGGUAUGGAUACCCGUUUGCAUGUACUUUAUGAAUAAGGAUCGGCUAACUCCGUGCCAGCAGCCGCGGUAAUACGGAGGAUCCGAGCGUUAUCCGGAUUUAUUGGGUUUAAAGGGAGCGUAGAUGGAUGUUUAAGUCAGUUGUGAAAGUUUGCGGCUCAACCGUAAAAUUGCAGUUGAUACUGGAUAUCUUGAGUGCAGUUGAGGCAGGCGGAAUUCGUGGUGUAGCGGUGAAAUGCUUAGAUAUCACGAAGAACUCCGAUUGCGAAGGCAGCCUGCUAAGCUGCAACUGACAUUGAGGCUCGAAAGUGUGGGUAUCAAACAGGAUUAGAUACCCUGGUAGUCCACACGGUAAACGAUGAAUACUCGCUGUUUGCGAUAUACUGCAAGCGGCCAAGCGAAAGCGUUAAGUAUUCCACCUGGGGAGUACGCCGGCAACGGUGAAACUCAAAGGAAUUGACGGGGGCCCGCACAAGCGGAGGAACAUGUGGUUUAAUUCGAUGAUACGCGAGGAACCUUACCCGGGCUUAAAUUGCAGAUGAAUUACGGUGAAAGCCGUAAGCCGCAAGGCAUCUGUGAAGGUGCUGCAUGGUUGUCGUCAGCUCGUGCCGUGAGGUGUCGGCUUAAGUGCCAUAACGAGCGCAACCCUUGUUGUCAGUUACUAACAGGUUCCGCUGAGGACUCUGACAAGACUGCCAUCGUAAGAUGUGAGGAAGGUGGGGAUGACGUCAAAUCAGCACGGCCCUUACGUCCGGGGCUACACACGUGUUACAAUGGGGGGUACAGAGGGCCGCUACCACGCGAGUGGAUGCCAAUCCCCAAAACCUCUCUCAGUUCGGACUGGAGUCUGCAACCCGACUCCACGAAGCUGGAUUCGCUAGUAAUCGCGCAUCAGCCACGGCGCGGUGAAUACGUUCCCGGGCCUUGUACACACCGCCCGUCAAGCCAUGGGAGCCGGGGGUACCUGAAGUGCGUAACCGCGAGGAGCGCCCUAGGGUAAAACUGGUGACUGGGGCUAAA